GAUGAAGAACGUAGCGAAAUGCGAUAAGUAAUGCGAAUUGCAGAAUUUCCGUGAGUCAUCGAAUCUUUGAACGCACAUUGCGCCCCCUGGUAUUCCGGGGGGCAUGCCUGUCCGAGCGUCAUUGCUGCCCUCAAGCACGGCUUGUGUGUUGGGCUCCGUCCCCCCGGGGACGGGCCCGAAAGGCAGCGGCGGCACCGAGUCCGGUCCUCGAGCGUAUGGGGCUUUGUCACCCGCUCUGUAGGCCCGGCCGGCGCCAGCCGACAACCCAUCAUCCUUUUCAGGUUGACCUCGGAUCAGGUAGGGAUACCCGCUGAACUUAAGCAUAUCAAUAAGCGGAGGA
rnacentral:misc_RNA from 1 species